CAAGUACUUCCUUCUUUCGAAAAUACUUGUCAUAAAAAAGAAUGUAUUUAGAUAUAUUUUAGUUUUAGAUACACUCAUUUUUAUAAAUUUAUACGACAAGUAAUUCCGAACGGAAGGAGUAGUUA
rnacentral:pre_miRNA from 1 species